GAGUAUCAUGCCCUCACGGGUAGAUCUCCACCCUUGAAUAACAUACCUUUGUUGCUUUGGCAGGACGCACCUGUGCCAGGGGCUUCGGCUCUUGAGUGCCUGCCAGAGGACCACAACUCUUGUUUUUAGUGAUGUCUGAGUACUAUAUAAUAGUUAAAACUUUCAACAACGGAUCACUUGGUUCU
rnacentral:misc_RNA from 1 species